rnacentral:rRNA from 1 species
UUGAACGCUGGCGGCAUGCUUUACACAUGCACGUCGAACGGCAGCGCGGGCUUCGGCCUGGCGGCGAGUGGCGAACGGGUGAGUAAUGCAUCGGAACGUGCCCAGUAGUGGGGGAUAGCCCGGCGAAAGCCGGAUUAAUACCGCAUACGACCUGAGGGUGAAAGCGGGGGACCGAAAGGCCUCGCGCUAUUGGAGCGGCCGAUGUCGGAUUAGCUAGUUGGUGGGGUAAAGGCUUACCAAGGCGACGAUCCGUAGCUGGUCUGAGAGGACGACCAGCCACACUGGGACUGAGACACGGCCCAGACUCCUACGGGAGGCAGCAGUGGGGAAUUUUGGACAAUGGGGGCAACCCUGAUCCAGCCAUGCCGCGUGCGGGAAGAAGGCCUUCGGGUUGUAAACCGCUUUUGUUCGGGAAGAAAUCCUCUGGGCUAAUACCCCGGGGGGAUGACGGUACCGGAAGAAUAAGCACCGGCGAACUACGU